GAUUGCGUGUGUGUCUUCACUGGCUCCUCACUCUCUUCAGUGGCCACACCUCCCACCUGUGGAGGCACAAGAUACCCCGGUGCUUUCUUCUCCGCUGGGAAGAAGACAGUAGAUUGGUUACAUUUAAUGAAAGAAAGAAGUGUGCUGGCCAAGGACCCAUGUCAUUCAAGGACAUGACUGUGGACUUCACCGGGGAUGAGUGGUGACAACUGACCAGUAUCAGAGGACCCUAUACUGGGAUGUGAUGCUGGAGAACUAUAGCCACCUGGUCUCUGUGGGGUACUGCAUUGCCAAACCAGAGGUGAUCAUCAAGCUGGAGCAAGGAGAAGAGCUGUGGCCAUUAGAGAGAAUUCCCAGGCUAGAGUGGUCCAGUGACCUCACUCAAAACUAGAACCUUAUUCUCUGAGGCCUUAUUUCAUUCCUAAUUGUAAGUAUAUAUUUUAAAAUCUAAAGCAUCUGUUUUGUCUUGUUGUUGGCCUUAUAUAGACCUAGGACUGCCCUCUAUUACUUAAGACUCCUCUUCUUAAACACUUCAAGCCAUAUUCAUCCUUUUUUGUUGAUGUUGCCCAGACACUUACAGUUAAGUUCCAUUUGAUCUACCUCCUACAUACUGCUCAUACGUAUGUCUUACCCACACCUGCACCUGUUUUUGAGGUUUGCCUUUCCAGACCCUGAAGAAAGAGUUUAGGACUGUGCGUGGUGUGUAGUUAACACUUCUGUGUUUUACACUAGUUGAUGUUUGAGCUCAGGUUCACACCUGUUUUGAAGUGCUUUGUACUCUCUCCCCUCUUAGAAUUCACAUUUCAGUUAGCGGCUGAGCCACAAGGACUCAGACCUCACCAUGCACUGGAGAGCUUGUGGGGCCUCUUUUUUUUUAAUUUUUUUACUUUUCUUUCGUUUGAUGGGUAAUACAUAACAGAUAUGCUCAUCUAUUAAUACUCAUAGGUUUGACCGACUGUUCAGAAAGCAUUUCCUAAGUACAUAGGCCUACAUCACUUACUUGCAAAUUCUGAUUCAUAACGCAUAUAUAUUGACACUGACCUAUGACAGUUUAUCCUCCAUGUUUUGAAUAAAAAUUUCCAGAUAAUUCUGGGGCCAGGGAGGGAUAAUUUAGGAGGUUGGGAUUAAUAUACACACAGGACUGUAUGUAAAAUAGAUAACCAACAAGGACCUACUAUAUAGUACA